rnacentral:ribozyme from 14 species
UUUUGGCUGGCCAUCUUUUCUCAGUUGCCUGUACAUCAAGCUAUUAUUAUAUCGAGCUGUGGUAUGACUGUAGGAUUGGGUAGGUCUGCCAAAGGUCUGCCACUUGCGUCGUCAGAGAAGGCAAGUUGAUAAAAAAAAAAAAAAAAAAGCCAAUUUACCUGGGAACAGUUCUGCCUUGUUUUUCCUGAUAAGGCUGAUACCUUGCAGUGAAAAAACUACGAAAAAAAUAGCU